GAUUAACGCUAGCGGCAGGCAUAAUACAUGCAAGUUGAACGGCAGCACAGGUAGCAAUACUGGGUGGCGAGUGGCGCACGGGUGCGUAACACGUAUGCAACCUACCCUAUACAGGCGAAUAACCUUUAGAAAUGAGGGCUAAUACGCCGUAGUAUUACAGCUGGGCAUCUAUUUGUAAUUAAAGAUUUAUCGGUAUAGGAUGGUCAUGCGUCCCAUUAGUUAGUUGGUAAGGUAACGGCUUACCAAGACGAUGAUGGGUAGGGGAUCUGAGAGGACUUACCCCCACACUGGUACUGAGACACGGACCAGACUCCUACGGGAGGCAGCAGUAAGGAAUAUUGGGCAAUGGCCGCGAGGCUGACCCAGCCAUGCCGCGUGCAGGAAGACGGCCUUAUGGGUUGUAAACUGCUUUUAUACGGGAAUAAUAGAGUGUACGCGUACAUUUAUGCAAGUAUCGUAUGAAUAAGCAUCGGCUAACUCCGUG
rnacentral:rRNA from 1 species